rnacentral:rRNA from 1 species
AGUGAACGCUGGCGGCAGGCCUAAUACAUGCAAGUCGAACGGCAGCACAGCAGAGCUUGCUCUGUGGGUGGCGAGUGGCGGACGGGUGAGGAAUACAUGGGAAUCUGCCCAGUCGUGGGGGAUAACGUAUGGAAACGUACGCUAAUACCGCAUGCGCCCUAAGGGGGAAAGCCGGGGACCGCAAGGCCUGGCGCGAUUGGAUGAGCCCAUGUUCGAUUAGCUAGUUGGCGGGGUAAAGGCCCACCAAGGCGACGAUCGAUAGCUGGUCUGAGAGGAUGAUCAGCCACACUGGAACUGAGACACGGUCCAGACUCCUACGGGAGGCAGCAGUAGGGAAUAUUGGACAAUGGGGGCAAGCCUGAUCCAGCAAUGCCGCGUGAGUGAAGAAGG